rnacentral:rRNA from 1 species
UACGUAGGGUCCAAGCGUUAUCCGGAAUUACUGGGCGUAAAGCGUACGUAGGCGGCGUGUUAAGUGCAAUGUGAAAUCUUGUGGCUCAACCAUAUAGACUAUGUUGCAUACUGCAUGCUAGAGGAUGGCAGAGGCAAGUGGAAUUUCUAGUGUAGCAGUGAUAUGCGUAGAUAUUAGAAGGAACACCAUGGCGAAGGCAGCUUGCUGGGCCACCCCUGACGCUGAGGUACGAAAGCGUGGGUAGCGAACAGG